rnacentral:rRNA from 1 species
CCUACGGGAGGCAGCAGUGGGGAAUAUUGCGCAAUGGGCGAAAGCCUGACGCAGCAACGCCGCGUGGGGGAUGAAGGCCUUCGGGUUGUAAACCUCUUUCAGCAGGGAAGAAGCGAAAGUGACGGUACCUGCAGAAGAAGCACCGGCUAACUACGUGCCAGCAGCCGCGGUAAUACGUAGGGUGCAAGCGUUGUCCGGAUUUAUUGGGCGUAAAGAGCUCGUAGGCGGUUAGUCACGUCGGAUGUGAAAUCCCGGAGCUUAACUCCGGGCCUGCAUUCGAUACGGGCUGACUCGAGUGUUGUAGGGGAGACUGGAACUCCUGGUGUAGCGGUGAAAUGCGCAGAUAUCAGGAAGAACACCGGUGGCGAAGGCGGGUCUCUGGGCAACUACUGACGCUGAGGAGCGAAAGCGUGGGGAGCAAACAGGAUUAGAUACCCUGGUAGUCCACGCCGUAAACGGUGGGCGCUAGGUGUGGGAACAUUCCUACGUUCUCUGCGCCGCGCGCGUACGCAUAGUCGCCCGCCGUCGGGAGGUACGGCCGCGACGACGUAAACGUACGAACGGUAAGUAGUACGGCGUUGUAGACGUUGCGACGGCGACGACGAGGGAGGAGG